rnacentral:rRNA from 1 species
UACGAAGGGGGCUAGCGUUGCUCGGAAUCACUGGGCGUAAAGAGCUCGUAGGUGGCCUGUCGCGUCGGCUGUGAAAACUCGGGGCUCAACUCCGAGCUUGCAGUCGAUACGGGCAGGCUAGAGUUCGGCAGGGGAGACUGGAAUUCCUGGUGUAGCGGUGAAAUGCGCAGAUAUCAGGAGGAACACCGGUGGCGAAGGCGGGUCUCUGGGCCGAUACUGACGCUGAGAAGCGAAAGCAUGGGGAGCGAACAGG